rnacentral:rRNA from 1 species
UGAAUACGAGAUGCUACGGCGUCGAAGCAGUCUAUGUCAUACUUCCAAGAAAAGUCGCACUGUCAUAAACAAAUAAUGCCUGUACCAUAACCGACACAGGUGGGUAGGUAGAGUAUACUAAGGGGCGCGAGAUAACUCUCUCUAAGGAACUCGGCAAAAUGACUCCGUAACUUCGGGAGAAGGAGUGCCUUAUUUAUAAGGUUGCAAUAACAAGAUCCAAGCAACUGUUUAUCAAAAACACAGGUCUCCGCUAAGUCGUAGGACGAUGUAUGGGGGCUGACGCCUGCCCAGUGCCAGAAGGUUAAAGAAGUUGGUUAGCAUUCGCGAAGCUGAUAACUGAAGCCCUGGUGAACGGCGGCCGUAACUAUAACGGUCCUAAGGUAGCGAAAUUCCUUGUCGGGUAAGUUCCGACCCGCGCGAAAGGCGUAAUGAUUUGGAUACUGUCUCGGGGAGGGGCUCGGUGAAAUAGACUUGUCUGUGAAGAUGCGGACUACCUGCACCAGGACAGAAAGACCCUAUGAGGCUUUACUGUAACUUGAGAUUGAAAUUGGACUUUACUUGCGCAGUAUAGGUGGGAGGCGUUGAUAAUAUUCUUGCGGGAUUAUUUGAGCCAUCAGUGAGAUACCACUCUUGUAAUGUUAGAUUUCUAACUUUGUAUCAUUAUCUGGUCAAAGGACAGUUUCAGGCGGGCAGUUUGACUGGGGCGGUCGCCUCCUAAACGGUAACGGAGGCGCACAAAGGUUUCCUCUGAACGGGUAGAAAUCGUAUCUAGAGUGUAAAGGCAUAAGGAAGCUUGACUGUGAGACCUACAAGUCGAGCAGGGACGAAAGUCGGUCUUAGUGAUCUGACGGUGCUGAGUGGAAAGGCCGUCACUCAACGGAUAAAAGUUACUCUAGGAUAACAGGCUGAUCUCCCCCAAGAGUUCACAUCGACGGGGAGGUUUGGCACCUCGAUGUCGGCUCAUCGCAUCCUGGGGCGGUAGUACGUCCCAAGGGUUGGGCUGUUCGCCCAUGAAAGCGGUACGCGAGCUGGGUUCAGAACGUCGUGAGACAGUUCGGUCCAUAUCCGGUGUAGGCGUUAGAAUAUUGAGAGGAGCCUUCUUUAGUACGAGAGGACCGAGAAGGACAUACCUCUGGUGUACCAGUUAUCGUGCCAACGGUAAACGCUGGGUAGCUAUGUAUGGAGUGGAUAACCGCUGAAAGCAUCUAAGUGGGAAGCCCACCUCAAGAUAAGUAUUCUCA